ACGCUGGCGGCAUGCUUUACACAUGCAAGUCGGACGGCAGCACAGAGAAGCUUGCUUCUUGGGUGGCGAGUGGCGAACGGGUGAGUAAUAUAUCGGAACGUACCGAGUAAUGGGGGAUAACUAAUCGAAAGAUUAGCUAAUACCGCAUAUUCUCUGAGGAGGAAAGCAGGGGACCUUCGGGCCUUGCGUUAUUCGAGCGGCCGAUAUCUGAUUAGCUAGUCGGUGGGGUAAAGGCCUACCAAGGCGACGAUCAGUAGCGGGUCUGAGAGGAUGAUCCGCCACACUGGGACUGAGACACGGCCCAGACUCCUACGGGAGGCAGCAGUGGGGAAUUUUGGACAAUGGGCGCAAGCCUGAUCCAGCCAUGCCGCGUGUCUGAAGAAGGCCUUCGGGUUGUAAAGGACUUUUGUCAGGGAAGAAAAGGCUGUUGCUAAUACCGACAGCUGAUGACGGUACCUGAAGAAUAAGCACCGGCUAACUACGUGCCAGCAGCCGCGGUAAUACGUAGGGUGCGAGCGUUAAUCGGAAUUACUGGGCGUAAAGCGAGCGCAGACGGUUACUUAAGCAGGAUGUGAAAUCCCCGGGCUCAACCUGGGAACUGCGUUCUGAACUGGGUGACUAGAGUGUGUCAGAGGGAGGUAGAAUUCCACGUGUAGCAGUGAAAUGCGUAGAGAUGUGGAGGAAUACCGAUGGCGAAGGCAGCCUCCUGGGAUAACACUGACGUUCAUGCUCGAAAGCGUGGGUAGCAAACAGGAUUAGAACCCCUGGUAGUCCACGCCCUAAACGAUGUCAAUUAGCUGUUGGGCAACUUGAUUGCUUAGUAGCGUAGCUAACGCGUGAAAUUGACCGCCUUGGGGAGUACGGUCGCAAGAUUAAAACUCAAAGGAAUUGACGGGGACCCGCACAAGCGGUGG
rnacentral:rRNA from 1 species